CACAUUGUCAAAGUCACAUGAGAUCAUUUCACGUAAACCUCUCCUAGCUGGUGGUAUCUCCUCCAUCCAAACGCCCAUAAGCCACCGCACCCAAGGCAGUCGCCACUGGCAACGAACACGGGCCAACCAUGAAGGUUUUCGACGUCAAUGGAAACACCUUUUCUCUCGCUCUCUUCGCAUAUGUCACCAAUUCCAAGUUUUCCUGUCUUGGAAGCUUGAAUCUGGAAUUCUUCGUUAGGUGCUCCUUUUGUUCAAAGUAGUUGGGAGAUAUGCAGAUUGCAGAGAAGCUGGCAUGUGACGUUUGAACUUAGUUUAGUUUAAAGAUUGCAGAAUCUUUGAAAAGAUGUGGGAUCUCUGAAACCACUACAUACAUCCUGGCAGCUUGUUUCAAUGCUUCUUUAGAUGAGAUGUAAGUUGUAGAGAAACUAAUCAAUGGAAAAUAAAUCAAUUUGGAGGAAUUGGAAGGCAGAGCAAACCAAGCACAAAUACAAAAGCACUACAAAAUUUAUGGCCUGGAAGCAGGGAUAUCCUCUCUGGCAGAUGCUAUUACAUGCCGAAUAGCUUCCUGUGAUGCAUUGUGAGAAGGAACAAUUAUCAUCUGAUUGUGCAUCUUAUUGAUUUUAUGUUGUGAACUUACAUAAGACUCUUAUUUAUGCGUCAACAAUUCAAGGAUAUAAAAACGCUUUGCAGAAAAGCACUAUUUUAGA